ensembl:Y_RNA Y_RNA Y RNA
GGCUAGCCCAAAGGUAGUGAGUUAUCUCAAUUGAUUGUUUACAGUCAGUUAUAGAUCGAACUCCCUGUUCUACUCUUUCUUCCCUUCUCACUACUGCACUUGAUUAGUCUAAA